rnacentral:rRNA from 1 species
UACGGAGGGGGCGAGCGUUAUUCGGAAUUAUUGGGCGUAAAGGGCGCGUAGGCGGCUUGAUGUGUCAAAGGUGAAAUCCCUCGGCUCAACUGAGGAACUGCCUUUGAAACUGUCUGGCUUGAGGCCGGGAGAGGGUAGCGGAAUUCCCAGUGUAGCGGUGAAAUGCGUAGAUAUUGGGAGGAACACCAGUGGCGAAGGCGGCUACCUGGACCGGUUCUGACGCUGAGGCGCGAAAGCGUGGGUAGCAAACAGG